GGAAACAUACACCUCUGGGUGUUUCUAUGGGGGAAGUUCCCAGCAGUGUUUAACUGAAGAGAGGAGGCCUUCCAUGAGUCUGAACAGCUCUAGACUAUGGGCUGAGGUCACAGUCUGGACUUGUGCCCUGCUCCUCCCCUGCUGUUUCUAUCAUGACACUCUAAGAUGCUCCACUUUGAUGGCUCCAAGAAUGGAGAAGAUUCCCAGGACAUUAAUGAAGACAUCUGUACUGAUGACUUAGAAAAGAAAAGCUAUUUCCAGGGCAGUCAUGUGUUUUGGGAGAACUGUAACUACCACAUCCACUAAAAACCUGGAGUUGAGUAAAAUCCUGUGUGUUUCUGUGACUAAAUUCAAUUUUCCAAGACAAAAUUUUUCUGGUAGCCCUGACUG